rnacentral:lncRNA from 1 species
GGGGGGGGAGGGGAGGGAGGGAGGGAAAUCACACCCUCCACAGGGCUGCCUGCAGUGCCUGAAGGACAAUGAGUGAAAUAGGGAAGGAAUUUGAAUGACAAAGUGACAAGAUGUCUGUCUCCUUAAUGAUAGUACAAGUUGGGAGUCGGUCACUGCCUGGCCCAGAUCUACGUUUAAAAGCUGCUUCUCCCAGUUUUAAGUUACCAACUCAGCUCAAUAUCUAAAACAAAGAGAAUGAAUUAUGGAACAGGACGAAGGGAGCUUGUUAAUUUUCCCACUGAUGCACUGUGAAAUGAAAGCUUUAUUCUAAGAAUGCCAUAUCCUCAGGGCUCUGUCUGCAGAGACAAUGACAAAUACAAAUGUCCUUACAGUUUUCUUCCUUUCCCCUCCUACUUUACCAAGCAUUCCAGACACAUUCUCUCUCUCUCUUUCCCUCUCUCUCUUCUCUCUGUCUCUCUUCCUCUCUUCCUCUCUCUGUGUCUCUUGCUUACUUUCUCUUCUUUCUCUCUUUUCCUCUGUCUCUUCCUCUCUUUCCCUUUCUUUCUUCUCUCUGUCUCUCUCUUUCCCUCUCUGUCUUUCUUUCCCUACCUCUCUGUCUCUCCCUCUCUUUCUCUAUUUCUAUUUCCCUGUCCCUCUUCUCUCUUUUCCUACUCUCCCUUUAACAUAUACACAUAUCUGUGUGUAUGUUCACAUAAAAGCACAUUUGUCUCUCUACACAUACACACACAUACACACACACACACACACAUAUAUGGAUCACAUUUCACUAUGGGGGUGCUUGGCCCUUGCAUAGCUAAAUGUGACCCAUGUAACUCACACCUGUAUUUCUCUUUAGGGCACUACUUCAGUUUCAUGGAAAAUAAUGCCCCCUCUUGUGAUGUUGCUGAUGAACAAAUUCUCGGAGGUCAUACAUCUGAUUUCUUGUGCAGUCGGCAUCUAUGCUCCUGGCCUUUAUAUGCAUUGCUAGCUAUUGUCAAUAGCCUGAACUAG